UGGGGAAUAUUGCACAAUGGGCGCAAGCCUGAUGCAGCCAUGCCGCGUGUAUGAAGAAGGCCUUCGGGUUGUAAAGUACUUUCAGUCGGGAGGAAGGUGGUAAGGUUAAUAACCUUAUCAAUUGACGUUACCGACAGAAGAAGCACCGGCUAACUCCGUGCCAGCAGCCGCGGUAAUACGGAGGGUGCAAGCGUUAAUCGGAAUUACUGGGCGUAAAGCGCACGCAGGCGGUUGAUUGAGUCAGAUGUGAAAUCCCCGGGCUUAACCCGGGAAUUGCAUCUGAUACUGGUCAGCUAGAGUCUUGUAGAGGGGGGUAGAAUUCCAUGUGUAGCGGUGAAAUGCGUAGAGAUGUGGAGGAAUACCGGUGGCGAAGGCGGCCCCCUGGACAAAGACAGACGCUCAGGUGCGAAAGCGUGGGGAGCAAACAGG
rnacentral:rRNA from 1 species